UACGAAGGGUGCAAGCGUGAAUCGGAAUUAAUGGGCGUAAAGCGCGCGUAGGUGGCUUGUUAAGUAGGAUGUGAAAGCCCCGGGCUCAACCAGGGAACUGCAUCCAAAACUGGCAAGCUAGAGUGUGGGAGAGGGUGGUGGAAUUUCCUGUGUAGCGGUGAAAUGCGUAGAUAUAGGAAGGAACACCAGUGGCGAAGGCGACCACCUGGGCUAAUACUGACACUGAGGUGCGAAAGCGUGGGGAGCAAACAGG
rnacentral:misc_RNA from 1 species